GGCGGAGUGGCGAACGGGUGAGUAAUACAUCGGAACGUACCCUGAAGUGGGGGAGUAACGUAAGCGAAAGUUACGCUAAUACCGCAUAUUCUGUGAGCAGGAAAGAGGGGGAUCGCAAGACCUCUUGCUUUAGGAGCGGCCGAUGUCGGAUUAGCUAGUUGGUGAGGUAAAGGCUCACCAAAGGCGACGAUCCGUAGCGGGUCUGAGAGGAUGAUCCGCCACACUGGGACUGAGACACGGCCCAGACUCCUACGGGAGGCAGCAGUGGGGAAUUUUGGACAAUGGGCGCAAGCCUGAUCCAGCCAUGCCGCGUGAGUGAAGAAGGCCUUCGGGUUGUAAAGCUCUUCGGUGGGGAAGAAAUUGCUUCGGUUAAUACCUGGAGUAGAUGACGGUACCCGCAUAAGAAGCACCGGCUAACUACGUG
rnacentral:rRNA from 1 species